rnacentral:rRNA from 1 species
UAGGGAAUCUUCGGCAAUGGGGGGAACCCUGACCGAGCAACGCCGCGUGAGUGAAGAAGGUUUUCGGAUCGUAAAGCUCUGUUGUUAAGGAAGAACGAGUGUGAGAAUGGAAAGUUCAUGCUGUGACGGUACUUAACCAGAAAGGGACGGCUAACUACGUGCCAGCAGCCGCGGUAAUACGUAGGUCCCGAGCGUUGUCCGGAUUUAUUGGGCGUAAAGCGAGCGCAGGCGGUUAGAAAAGUCUGAAGUGAAAGGCAGUGGCUCAACCAUUGUAGGCUUUGGAAACUGUUUAACUUGAGUGCAGAAGGGGAGAGUGGAAUUCCAUGUGUGGCGGUGAAAUGCGUAGAUAUAUGGAGGGACACCGGUGGCGAAAGCGGCUCUCUGGUCUGUAACUGACGCUGAGGCUCGAAAGCGUUGGGAGCGAACAGG